rnacentral:rRNA from 1 species
GCGUAACACAUGCAAGUCGAACGAGAAAUUCCGGGCUUGCUCGGGAGAGUAAAGUGGCGAACGGGUGAGUAACGCGUGGGUAACCUGCCCCUGAAUCUGGAAUAACUUCGCGAAAGCGAGGCUAAUACCGGAUAUUGUCCCAGGGACCUCGGUUCUUGUGAUGAAAGAUGACCUCUUCACGAAAGUUGUCGUUCAGGGAGGGGCCCGCGUACCAUUAGCUAGUUGGUAGGGUAAUGGCCUACCAAGGCGAUGAUGGUUAGCUGGUCUGAGAGGAUGACCAGCCACACUGGCACUGAAACACGGGCCAGACUCCUACGGGAGGCAGCAGUGAGGAAUUUUGCGCAAUAGGGGAAACCCUGACGCAGCAACGCCGCGUGAGUGAAGAAGGCCCUCGGGUCGUAAAGCUCUGUCAAGUGGGAAAAAAGCUUGCUGGUAAAUAGCCAGCAAGACUGAUGGUACCAUUGAAGGAAGCACCGGCUAACUCCGUGCCAGCAGCCGCGGUAAUACGGAGGGUGCAAGCGUUGUUCGGAAUUACUGGGCGUAAAGGGCGUGUAGGCGGUGUGGUAAGUCAGAUGUGAAAGCCCUGGGCUUAACCCAGGAAGUGCAUUUGAAACUGCCAUGCUUGAGUAUGGGAGAGGAGAGUGGAAUUCCCAGUGUAGAGGUGAAAUUCGUAGAUAUUGGGAGGAACACCCGUGGCGAAGGCGACUCUCUGGACCAAUACUGACGCUGAGGCGCGA